AGCUGGCUGAGGCAGGGCCUGAGUCAGGAAGGCACCUGAGAUGUUCCCUUGUCCAUAGCCUCCAACACCUAGAAAUGGCACCGCUGGGCAGUCUCCAAAGUCACCAGGUCACGAAGCCUCUACUUAUCCACCAUGUGGAAGCCACAAGGAGAAAAGUGGGAUUUGAAUCCAUGUCCUCUGAGCCUAAAAUCCGUCCCUCUUUUCCCUGUUCUGAGUCGUCUCCUCUGGUGUGACCUGCGGACAGAGCUGUGGGGCUGCUCCAGGCCCUCAAUUUUCUUCUCCUGAUAAUAUAUCCAGAGGAGUGUAACCUGGCUAGUGAGAGAACUGGACAUCAUCUGUUACGAAUCUUGAUUGAUGGACCUGGAGACAUUAAGUCUGGAGAAGAAAGAUUGGGUCCAGGGGUCAGACGGUGAUUUAUCAAGACAGAGAUGAGAGAUUGAACAGAACAACGUGUAGCAGUGGUAAACAAUCUGGAUAG